rnacentral:rRNA from 1 species
UACGAAGGGUGCAAGCGUUAAUCGGAAUUACUGGGCGUAAAGGGUGCGUAGGCGGUUCGUUAAGUCUGUCGUGAAAUCCCCGGGCUCAACCUGGGAACUGCAUUGGUGACUGGCGGGCUAGAGUGUGGCAGAGGGGGGUAGAAUUCCACGUGUAGCAGUGAAAUGCGUAGAGAUUUGGAGGAACACCAGUGGCGAAGGCGACUUUCUGGUCUGUAACUGACACUGAGGCGCGAAAGCGUGGGGAGCGAACAGG